rnacentral:misc_RNA from 1 species
GAUGAAGAACGUAGCGAAAUGCGAUAGGUAAUGCGAAUUGCAGAAUCCGUGAGUCAUCGAAUCUUUGAACGCACAUUGCGCCCCCUGGUAUUCCGGGGGGCAUGCCUGUCCGAGCGUCAUUACAACCCUCAAGCUCAGCUUGGUAUUGGGCCCCGCCGACCCGGCGGGCCCUAAAGUCAGUGGCGGUGCCGUCCGGCUCCGAGCGUAGUAAUUCUUCUCGCUCUGGAGGUCCGGUCGUGUGCUCGCCAGCAACCCCCAAUUUUUUUCAGGUUGACCUCGGAUCAGGUAGGGAUACCCGCUGAACUUAAGCAUAUCAAUAAGCGGAGGA